rnacentral:rRNA from 1 species
UACAGAGGUCCCAAGCGUUGCUCGGAUUUACUGGGCGUAAAGGAUGCGUAGGCGGUCUGCCAAGUCUGAUGUGAAAGCCCGGGGCUCAACCCCGGAACGGCAUUGGAUACUGGCAGGCUGGAGGCUGGAAGAGGUUACUGGAAUUCCUGGUGUAGCGGUGAAAUGCGCAGAUAUCAGGAGGAACACCGGUGGCGAAGGCGGGACUCUGGGCCGAUACUGACGCUGAGGAGCGAAAGCGUGGGGAGCGAACAGG